UUCCACUGAUGACUUCUUGUUAGUGCCACGUGUCUGGGCCACUGAUACCCCAUGAUGGAAAAAAAAAAAAAGAAA
rnacentral:snoRNA from 1 species